GUGGGCUAUGGUGACAUUUACCCACAGACUUUACUUGGAAAAAUUGUGGGUGGGCUUUGUUGCAUUGCAGGAGUGCUGGUCAUUGCCCUACCCAUCCCUAUUAUUGUCAACAAC